rnacentral:rRNA from 1 species
AUGAACGCUAGCGGCAGGCCUAACACAUGCCGGUCGAGGGAGAAGCCCUUUCGGGGGCCGAAACCGGCGCACGGGUGCGUAACGCGUAUGCAACCUACCUUUCACAGGGGGAUAGCCCGAAGAAAUUUGGAUUAAUACCCCAUAAUAUUAUUGGAUGGCAUCAUUUGAUAAUUAAAACUGCGGUGGUGAAAGAUGGGCAUGCGUCCUAUUAGCUAGUUGGAGUGGUAACGGCACCCCAAGGCUACGAUAGGUAGGGGUCCUGAGAGGGAGAUCCCCCACACUGGUACUGAGACAGGGACCAGACUCCUACGGGAGGCAGCAGUGAGGAAUAUUGGUCAAUGGUCGGAAGACUGAACCAGCCAUGCCGCGUGCAGGAAGAAUGCCUUAUGGGUUGUAAACUGCUUUUAUAUGGGAAGAAUAAGGCGUACGUGUACGUUGAUGACGGUACCAUAUGAAUAAGCAUCGGCUAACUCCGUG